rnacentral:rRNA from 1 species
CUACGGGGGGCUCCAGUGGGGAAUAUUGCACAAUGGGCGCAAGCCUGAUGCAGCCAUGCCGCGUGUAUGAAGAAGGCCUUCGGGUUGUAAAGUACUUUCAGCGGGGAGGAAGGGAGUAAAGUUAAUACCUUUGCUCAUUGACGUUACCCGCAGAAGAAGCACCGGCUAACUCCGUGCCAGCAGCCGCGGUAAUACGGAGGGUGCAAGCGUUAAUCGGAAUUACUGGGCGUAAAGCGCACGCAGGCGGUUUGUUAAGUCAGAUGUGAAAUCCCCGGGCUCAACCUGGGAACUGCAUCUGAUACGGGCAAGCUUGAGUCUCGUAGAGGGGGGUAGAAUUCCAGGUGUAGCGGUGAAAUGCGUAGAGAUCUGGAGGAAUACCGGUGGCGAAGGCGGCCCCCUGGACGAAGACUGAUGCUCAGGUGCGAAAGCGUGGGGAGCAAACAGGAUUAGAUACCCUUGUAGUC